rnacentral:lncRNA from 1 species
GAUUAUUUGGUACCCUAAACAGAAUAAGAAAAGUGUGUACAUCAGAAAGUGGGUUGAAGCAGGAUUCUACUUUCUGCAGUACUAAUCAUGGUAUUGUCACUGUUGUGAGCCAAACACCCACUAAAAUGGAGAAUGCGGGAAACCGAUCGAUCCACAAAGCUGAUGAUGAGGUCUAUUCUAUCCUUCAGAGCUCCCGAGUUUGAUUUCAACCAUACGUCUAUCAAUUAUGAACGUACAAAAGGUAGCUAAAGCUGAUGAUCGAUUGAAAUGAAGGAUGCAUGUAAUAAGUUCAUAGUUGAUGAGCAAAUAGCACAAUGGUAGUCAUUGUCCAGGUGGAGCCGACAGAACACAAACAUGUCCACUACCAUUCUCAGUUCAGUUCUUUCAUAGGAUGUGCCGUAUCCAAACGCAGAAUUAGAAUUGGAGACUCUUCAUCUCAACUACUCUUAAUGGUCCCAAAUUGACAUGCAUCUCCCAUGUGAUCAUCAUCAUCUCUCUCUCUCUCNNNNNNNNNNNNNNNNNNNNCUCUCUCUCUCUCUCUCUCUCUCCAUUAUCGAUCAUUCUAAUUCAAAUAUUCUUUUGUAUGGAAGUUUAGUGAUCAGGAGUAUUUAUUUUUCUAGUAAAAUUCAAGUUUAAUACAUGUAUAUUUUUUAGUUAUCUCUCUGAAAUAAGAAACACCCAAUUGUUCAUUCUUUUUCAUUUAUUUAUCUCGAGGCAUCUUUCAACAAUGGCGGUUCCCUAGCUAAUUGGGCGAUAGAAUUGAAGAAAUGAAGACGCAUGCAUUUUGUUUUUUGCAAUAUUACAAAUUAUCAGACGGGUAUACAAGUAGGUUUUAUACAAAUCUUCAUCCCUUUCUUGUGUAUUUAUUUAAGAUGAUAAUUAGUUAAGACACUCUGUCAUUGCUAAAGAACGGAGAGUCAACACAUAUCACUCUCUCUCUCUCUGACUGAUUAGCUGAUGAGCUUCCUCAGAGUACUGGAACUGAUCAUAUAGUUUAAGUUUAGAAGGAAUUAAUGUUCCUUGGCGCGAGCAUCGGAAUAAUCUUAGGGAUCGGUUAGUAGAUGACACGCAGAGAUGAGAAAGACUACGUAGUUUCUCGGUUUCUGUUGUGUCUGUGAUUCAAAGACAAACUCCACCGCAAUCUUUGCCGACCUGCAAGAUUUUGAUCCCCCAAUCAUGCAUGGUUCUGUAGUAUCAAAAACAUUUACCCGAUUCUUAAUUCGAUUUUAAUUUUGUAGAUUAUGUCUGCCUUGAUUCAUGAAUUACUUUACUAUCAAUUAGGGUGCACAUAGUCUCCUAUCCUUCAGUAGUUCAGUAUUAUAACCUCUGAAGGAUUGCAGCCAUGUGCUCGGCUCACAGAGCUCAGGAUUUUAUAUGGCCAUGUCCCAAGUCUAUAUAUAAGGUAAUAACAACUUGAUAUUUUUCAUAUAUAGUUUUCUGUGUUAAUUUACAUAUAGGAGAUCGAUCGAGUUGAUCAACAAUUGGUAAUGAUAUAUUCGUACAAACUGUUGAGAUAUAUAUCCCACAUCGGGAAUAAUGGGACCUUGCCUAUGGUUUAUAAGGAUUUGGGUCACUCCAUUUAUUGCCAAUUGGUUUUAGAUGUGAACCCCAGACUACUUUAUCAUGAUAUCAGAGCGGGUUACCCACGUCCAUGUGUGAAGCCUAAAGGCCACACGAACUCCACGUCACCCCAAAUGUUGUCCACGUGUUAGGCUUGAAGAUUCGCCACACGUGCGGGGACGUGUUGAGAUAUAUAUAUCCCACAUCGGGAAUAAUGGGACCUUGCCUGUGGUUUAUAAGGGUUUGGGUCACUCCAUCUAUUGCCAAUUGGUUUUGGAUGUGAACCCCAGACUACUUUAUCACAAACGAGCACUACAUCAUCACAGCAAUUUUCUCAGAAAUAUAGGUCGCAUAUAUUACAUUAUCAAGAGCAUUAUAGAGAAGAUGAGAGAACAUGUCAGUUUUUCUUCAUUCUUUCAAUCUCCUAAUUUUGUAAUGAUAAUUUGCAGGCGGUGCAUGCAAUUGAACGGAUCAGUUCUAUAAGCUAGUAAUGGAAGUUUGAACAUUCAAAGUUUGAAGGAAAGAGCCAUGAAAGUACCAUCGGAGUGGUUCAUUCAAAUGAUUCACUGUAAUGAGACUCCAGUUGGGAUUAUUAAGACGGUACAUACUCGUGAUUCAAUGUAUCCCUGGCAAAAUGAUACUGAUGUAUUAUCAUGUUCCUUAUUAGUCUAGUUAAGAUGGUUAAUCUCACUUUGCCGCUUAUUACCAUUUAUAGAAUUUGGACAAGAUGCGCUACCUGAUCUCUACAAGGUGAAGAUAAGGAGUGAUCAAGUGCGAUUGGACCCAUGAUUAGAUGUAUAAAAUUAGUUGUGGACAUCGUUAACAAAAGACUGCGGGAGGAUAAUAAAGGUUACGUACUCACAUCCGUGAUCGAUCGGCUUUUCCAUUGAUCGACAAGACCUUUAAUAUACACCGGUACAUAAUUUAACACCAUGUUUUAUAAUUGUCAGAUAUGCUUCUUCUACCACUGUUGCUAAAUAUAUCAUGAACUUGUGUAUGAUGAAAUUAAAAAUUGACAUCGUGCUUAACAAGAGUUGUGUAUUUUAGCCCUAAAAGAUUAACUUCAAAAGAAUUAGUAAAUGUGGUGAUAUUUUCGUGUUUAAUUAUAUUCCCCCCUAAUUAUUGUGUAUCAAACAAGAUGCAUACAAGAUAAUUUUUCAACAUCGGCGACCCGCGACCAGUUUCAUCGAUCUUUCAUCUAGCUAGCUAGGAUGAGAAAAUCAUAAUUCCAAACCAAAAUACUACUACUAUUGUUAUCACAAUAAGAAACGAAUUAACUAUACGAUCCGUAUAUAUAAUUGCGAUGAGCUGCUAAUCUAAUUCUUUGCAUGGACCGACAAGUGAUUGUAAUGCUGCCAUUACUGGAUGCGACAACCCUCCGAUUCCCCACUGAUCUUUGCAGCUAAACUGUCUCUCGCUCAUUCUAAUUCUCUUUCUUUACCUCUCUCUACCCUCACUCACAGAGACACUGACAUCUCUAGCUUGUUGCAGCAACUGUGCUCGUAUACUUUGAGACCCGGCCUCUUCGUAUAUAUAAUUCCAGACAAACCCUCUCCCCCCAAACUAUACUACUUCACAUUUCUGGUUACAGCAACUGUGAUCAUAUAUACUUUGAUAUACACCUCUCUCUCUCUCUCUCUCUCUCCAUGGAUUUCCAUCCCCUAAAUACUAGUCUUAAUCUAAGCUUACCCAACAACCAUCAUCAUCAGC